rnacentral:rRNA from 1 species
GACGAACGCUGGCGGCGUGCCUAAUACAUGCAAGUCGAGCGGACCAAAGGGAGCUUGCUCCUGGAGGUUAGCGGCGAACGGGUGAGUAACACGUGGGCAACCUGCCUGUAAGACUGGGAUAACAUCGAGAAAUCGGUGCUAAUACCGGAUAAUAAAAAGAACUGCAUGGUUCUUUUUGAAAGAUGGUUUCGGCUAUCACUUACAGAUGGGCCCGCGGCGCAUUAGCUAGUUGGUGAGGUAACGGCUCACCAAGGCAACGAUGCGUAGCCGACCUGAGAGGGUGAUCGGCCACACUGGGACUGAGACACGGCCCAGACUCCUACGGGAGGCAACAGUAGGGAAUCUUCCGCAAUGGACGAAAGUCUGACGGAGCAACGCCGCGUGAGUGAUGAAGGUUUUCGGAUCGUAAAACUCUGUUGUUAGGGAAGAACAAGUGCCGUUCGAAAGGGCGGCACCUUGACGGUACCUAACGAGAAAGCCACGGCUAACUACGUGCCAGCAGCCGCGGUAAUGU